GACGAACGCUGGCGGCGUGCCUAAUACAUGCAAGUAGAACGCUGAAGAGAGGAGCUUGCUCUUCUUGGAUGAGUUGCGAACGGGUGAGUAACGCGUAGGUAACCUGCCUUGUAGCGGGGGAUAACUAUUGGAAACGAUAGCUAAUACCGCAUAACAAUGGAUGACACAUGUCAUUUAUUUGAAAGGGGCAAUUGCUCCACUACAAGAUGGACCUGCGUUGUAUUAGCUAGUAGGUGAGGUAACGGCUCACCUAGGCGACGAUACAUAGCCGACCUGAGAGGGUGAUCGGCCACACUGGGACUGAGACACGGCCCAGACUCCUACGGGAGGCAGCAGUAGGGAAUCUUCGGCAAUGGGGGCAACCCUGACCGAGCAACGCCGCGUGAGUGAAGAAGGUUUUCGGAUCGUAAAGCUCUGUUGUAAGUCAAGAACGAGUGUGAGAGUGGAAAGUUCACACUGUGACGGUAGCUUACCAGAAAGGGACGGCUAACUACGUGCCAGCAGCCGCGGUAAUACGUAGGUCCCGAGCGUUGUCCGGAUUUAUUGGGCGUAAAGCGAGCGCAGGCGGUUUGAUAAGUCUGAAGUAAAGGCUGUGGCCCAACCAUAGUUCGCUUUGGAAACUGUCAAACUUGAGUGCAGAAGGGGAGAGUGGAAUUCCAUGUGUAGCGGUGAAAUGCGUAGAUAUAUGGAGGAACACCGGUGGCGAAAGCGGCUCUCUGGUCUGUAACUGACGCUGAGGCUCGAAAGCGUGGGGAGCGAACAGGAUUAGAUACCCUGGUAGUCCACGCCGUAAACGAUGAGUGCUAGGUGUUGGAUCCUUUCCGGGAUUCAGUGCCGCAGCUAACGCAUUAAGCACUCCGCCUGGGGAGUACGACCGCAAGGUUGAAACUCAAAGGAAUUGACGGGGGCCCGCACAAGCGGUGGAGCAUGUGGUUUAAUUCGAAGCAACGCGAAGAACCUUACCAGGUCUUGACAUCCCGAUGCUAUUUCUAGAGAUAGAAAGUUACUUCGGUACAUCGGUGACAGGUGGUGCAUGGUUGUCGUCAGCUCGUGUCGUGAGAUGUUGGGUUAAGUCCCGCAACGAGCGCAACCCCUAUUGUUAGUUGCCAUCAUUCAGUUGGGCACUCUAGCGAGACUGCCGGUAAUAAACCGGAGGAAGGUGGGGAUGACGUCAAAUCAUCAUGCCCCUUAUGACCUGGGCUACACACGUGCUACAAUGGUUGGUACAACGAGUUGCGAGUCGGUGACGGCAAGCUAAUCUCUUAAAGCCAAUCUCAGUUCGGAUUGUAGGCUGCAACUCGCCUACAUGAAGUCGGAAUCGCUAGUAAUCGCGGAUCAGCACGCCGCGGUGAAUACGUUCCCGGGCCU
rnacentral:rRNA from 1 species